AUUGAACGCUGGCGGCAUGCUUUACACAUGCAAGUCGAACGGUAACAGGCCGCAAGGUGCUGACGAGUGGCGAACGGGUGAGUAAUGCAUCGGAACGUGCCCAGUCGUGGGGGAUAACGCAGCGAAAGCUGCGCUAAUACCGCAUACGAUCUAUGGAUGAAAGCGGGGGACCGUAAGGCCUCGCGCGAUUGGAGCGGCCGAUGUCAGAUUAGGUAGUUGGUGGGGUAAAGGCUCACCAAGCCGACGAUCUGUAGCUGGUCUGAGAGGACGACCAGCCACACUGGGACUGAGACACGGCCCAGACUCCUACGGGAGGCAGCAGUGGGGAAUUUUGGACAAUGGGCGCAAGCCUGAUCCAGCAAUGCCGCGUGCAGGAAGAAGGCCUUCGGGUUGUAAACUGCUUUUGUACGGAACGAAAAGGCUCUGGUUAAUACCUGGGGCUCAUGACGGUACCGUAAGAAUAAGCACCGGCUAACUACGUGCCAGCCGCCGCCGUAA
rnacentral:rRNA from 1 species